rnacentral:rRNA from 1 species
GUAGGUGGCAAGCGUUGUCCGGAAUUAUUGGGCGUAAAGCGCGCGCAGGCGGUUCUUUAAGUCUGAUGUGAAAGCCCACGGCUCAACCGUGGAGGGUCAUUGGAAACUGGAGAACUUGAGUACAGAAGAGGAAAGCGGAAUUCCACGUGUAGCGGUGAAAUGCGUAGAGAUGUGGAGGAACACCAGUGGCGAAGGCGGCUUUCUGGUCUGUAACUGACGCUGAGGCGCGAAAGCGUGGGGAGCAAACAGGGAUUAGAUACCCUGGUAGUCCACGCCGUAAACGAUGAGUGCUAAGUGUUAGGGGGGUUUCCGCCCCCUUAGUGCUGCAGCUAACGCAUUAAGCACUCCGCCUGGGAUACGGCCGCAAGGCUG